rnacentral:rRNA from 1 species
AGCGAACGCUGGCGGCAGGCUUAACACAUGCAAGUCGAGCGCCCCGCAAGGGGAGCGGCAGACGGGAGAGUAACACGUGGGAACGUACACUUUAGUUCGGAACAACACCGGGAAACUUGGGCUAAUACCGGAUACGUCCGUAAGGAGAAAGAUUUAUCGCUAAAGGAUCGGCCCGCGUCUGAUUAGCUAGUUGGUGAGGUAACGGCUCACCAAGGCGACGAUCAGUAGCUGGUCUGAGAGGAUGAUCAGCCUCACUGGGACUGAGACACGGCCCAGACUCCUACGGGAGGCAGCAGGGGGGAAUAUUGGACAAUGGGCGCAAGCCUGAUCCAGCCAUGCCGCGUGGGUGAUGAAGGCCCUAGGGUUGUAAAGCCCUUUCGGCGGGGAAGAUAAUGACGGUACCCGCAGAAGAAGCCCCGGCUAACUUCGUGCCAGCAGCCGCGGUAA